AUUGAACGCUGGCGGCAUGCUUUACACACGCAAGUCGAACGGCAGCACGGGGGCAACCCUGGUGGCGAGUGGCGAACGGGUGAGUAAUGCAUCGGAACAUGCCCAGUCGUGGGGGAUAACGUAGCGAAAGUUACGCUAAUACCGCAUACGUCCUGAGGGAGAAAGCGGGGGAUCGCAAGACCUCGCGCGAUUGGAGUGGCCGAUGUCAGAUUAGCUAGUUGGUGGGGUAAAGGCCCACCAAGGCGACGAUCUGUAGCGGGUCUGAGAGGAUGAUCCGCCACACUGGGACUGAGACACGGCCCAGACUCCUACGGGAGGCAGCAGUGGGGAAUUUUGGACAAUGGGGGCAACCCUGAUCCAGCCAUGCCGCGUGCGGGAAGAAGGCCUUCGGGUUGUAAACCGCUUUCAGCCGGAAAGAAAUCGCUAUUCCUAAUACGAGUGGUGGAUGACGGUACCGGAAGAAGAAGCACCGGCUAACUACGUGCCAGCAGCCGCCGUAAGAC
rnacentral:rRNA from 1 species